UACGGAGGGUGCGAGCGUUGUCCGGAAUCACUGGGCGUAAAGGGCGCGUAGGCGGCCUGGCAAGUCGGUGGUGAAAGCCCGUGGCUCAACUACGGGUCGGCCACCGAUACUGCUAUGGCUCGAGUUUGGUAGAGGCAGAUGGAAUUCCGGGUGUAGCGGUGGAAUGCGUAGAGAUCCGGAAGAACACCGGUGGCGAAGGCGGUAUGCUGGGCCAAGACUGACGCUGAGGCGCGACAGCGUGGGGGAGCAAACAGG
rnacentral:rRNA from 1 species